AAUAAAGUGCCUGAUAAAAGGACUAUUUUGAUAGAAUAGAUUAUGCAUUUAUGUCUUUAUUA
rnacentral:tRNA from 1 species